rnacentral:rRNA from 1 species
CCUACGGGAGGCAGCAGUGGGGAAUAUUGCACAAUGGGGGAAACCCUGAUGCAGCGACGCCGCGUGAGUGAAGAAGUAUUUCGGUACGUAAAGCUCUAUCAGCAGGGAAGAAAAUGACGGUACCUGACUAAGAAGCCCCGGCUACCUACGUGCCAGCAGCCGCGGUAAUACGUAGGGGGCAAGCGUUAUCCGGAUUUACUGGGUGUAAAGGGAGCGUAGACGGCAGCGCAAGUCUGGAGUGAAAUCCCAUGGCUUAACCAUGGAACUGCUUUGGAAACUGUGCAGCUAGAGUGCAGGAGAGGUAAGCGGAAUUCCUAGUGUAGCGGUGAAAUGCGUAGAUAUUAGGAGGAACACCAGUGGCGAAGGCGGCUUACUGGACUGUAACUGACGUUGAGGCUCGAAAGCGUGGGGAGCAAACAGGAUUAGAUACCCUAGUAGUC